AUGCAUUUGAGAUCUAAAUGCAGGCAACCCAAGCCUGAGUCUGACCAAGGAUCAACUGCACAUCCAUGCAGCUGCAACAAGGCGCUGCAGCACAGUGCAAGGAGCACUGGGGCUAAGGAAGACAUACAGAUACUGUCUGCUCUUCCCAGCAUUCCCCCAGUGAAGGCACACUUCAUCUGGCUGCGCAUCCUUUCACCUCUCUGCCCCAAGAGCAGUGCAAACAGGGAGCUCAACUCAUGCUUCUCCCACCUCUGGAGAUGGGGACUGACCCCGUGGAGCGGCUGGAGAGAAACAGGAUGUCAGCAAACCAUGCAGGCAACUCCUGACGAGCCAGCGGGCUGCAUCAAGGUCCGUGUUUGCUUUCUGUCCCGGUGGGGAGUUUUCCAUGCAGACCAAUCAGGCUCCUUCCAGCCUGCAAAUCGCUUGCAGCUCGAUCCACUCGGUGCGUUACUUAAUGCUGGCACUGGAACCGGCUGUCGGAAGUCUACAAGCAAUCUCACUUUGACGGGCCAGCCCUUGUGUGAGAAAAAACAAAAUUCAGAUAGGGAACAGCAACAAACUGCUGUGACUAAGCUUUAUCUUGGCCAAGAUGCCUCUUCUGCCUGGGUUUCUGUCUCAGCUGGUGGCAGCCUGCAGGGGAUCACUGCACAAAUGCAGGCAAUGCGUUUGUGCUGUCCUGCUGCUCUCCUCUGGUUCGGUUUUCAGCCGUCCCUUUGCAGACUGGGGUUUCACCCAGCCCUGCUUCAGGAGGAAGGCAGAUCUGAGGCUGCUUUACCUGGCACCCACUUUCCAAGGACACACAGUGGCACUCUUCUGUUGUCCUGGGACACCUCUGCUCAUUUACACCAGUGCGGUAGCAAGUCAUUUAGGAGGGGCUUGGUGUUCACGCUGCUCCGUUGUGCAAAGACUGCAAGUAUUAAAAUCACUGCAAAUCUGUACAGAUACGCCUGCUGGAGAGCAAGAUGUGGUGACAGCUGCUCCAUCAGCACAACCCAGGCCCACAGCUUUCCCUAUUCUCAGCUGAACGAUGACAUUUCCAAGCAGCAAUCCCCGGAGCCAGCCCCAUCCGUGCUGCUGUCCCUUGUCCCACGCAGCACGGAGCGGGUGACCGAGGCAGGAUGUGACCCAUAGAUGGCACUGGCCUUCCACCACCGCUGUCCUGGGGCACCGCAUCUGCCGGACGUGAGUAACCCAGCGCAACCCUCGGGCUGCCAGCACCACCCACGGCCCCACGGCUCUAGUGUCACCGCUGGGCGAUGGAGGUGGGUGGCUGAAGUGGUCCCCAGCAAGCUACAGGUCCGUGCCGUGCACCUCGUGAGGGAGGGCUUUAAUCAUCUGCUGCCUGCAACGUGAGCAAGCGGCGACAGGAGGCUCCUGGCCUCCGACACCGGCAGGGACGCGUGCAGGUCGGUCGGUUCACGUCAAGCUCCUCUGGAUUUGCUGUUUUCACUCAAAUAACUCAACCUGCCCCACAGCUCUGCAGCGGCACACACACCGUGCUCAGGCUUUUCUCUUUCUCUCCGUCUGGGUGUAGAAUGCGUUACGGCUCAAGAAGCCGCCCUUCUCUUCUUCGUGUCCCUUCUGUUAGCAUCUUAACAAGGACACGGGCUUCAUUUCACCACUGGAUGAGCCGGGAGUGAAGCACGCAGUGGGACGUGGAGGUGGCCGUGCACGGGUGCUUGGGGGCUCUUCUUGUCUCCUUCCCAGAGCAGCAGUUCCACGUGCCCAGCUCCGUGCCGACGCUGGGGAUCUGGUUCUGGCUGCGGGCAGUAAGCCUGGUGGAAAAUUUCAGCCUUCUGGCCGGAAGAUAACCACUGACAGAGUUCAGGAGAGAGCAGUAAACUGGCGAGGAGCCGGAGGGACUGGUUUGUGACAAAAGGCUGAAUCAGAUGGUGGGGAGGGGCUGGAAGGUGCCCAAGGAGGGCGAAAGAUUUUGUCUAGGGGACAUCAGGAGGUAACUAAUUAACUAAAGGGAUGAAAGAGAGGGGGAAAUAGAGGACGGCUGUCGGAUGAAACCACCAUCCUGCUGAGCUUCCAGUGCGUUUCUAUCGCCCUGGGAGAAGCCCCAUCACCAGGGCCACAGCAGUGGGAGAAGGCCCAAGGAGACGGCCUUGUGUUGACCCAGGGGAUG
ensembl:lncRNA